rnacentral:rRNA from 1 species
UACAGAGGGUGCGAGCGUUAAUCGGAAUUACUGGGCGUAAAGCGUGCGUAGACGGCUAUCUAAGUCGGGUGUGAAAGCCCCGGGCUCAACCUGGGAAUUGCAUUCGAGACUGAAUAGCUAGGGUGCGGUAGAGGGAAGCGGAAUUUCCGGUGUAGCGGUGAAAUGCGUAGAUAUCGGAAGAACAUCAGUGGCGAAAGCGGCUUCCUGGACCAGCACCGACGUCAGGCACGAAAGCGUGGGGAGCAAACAGG